GGGUGAUUAGCUCAGCUGGGAGAGCACCUCCCUUACAAGGAGGUGGUCGGCGGUUCGAUCCCGUCAUCACCCACCA
rnacentral:tRNA from 9 species